AGAAAAAAAGAGGAGAAUUUUCAAAAAAAGGAAAUAAUUUACAACCACACUUAAACAUACAACAUCCGAGAGUUAUACUUCACACAUCAACAAAAAAUAGCCAUCGUUUGUAAUCCCACAGUUUAGUUUCGAGCACCCUUCACAUAACAUAUCGAUAAAAAUUCAAGCAAGAAUCAGGAAUAAGGAUUGGGUAGGAACAUAAACAUAUUGAAGUAAAA
rnacentral:lncRNA from 1 species